UCUGAAUCUGCGNACGGCUCCGCAAACCAGUUGUAAACUAUAGCAAGCAUGCCUGGGUUCCCUUCACGGGGAGCUUGGGCAACAUGGAUAACCCUGGUAAUUCUGAGGCUAAUACACGAACGUAAUACCUGGCCAACCGGGCAACUGGAAGGCUGGGAGACGUGCGAGUUGUUCAUGAGGAUUUUACUGGGAAUAGACGCACGUCUCGACCGCGCUAAAAACAGAUGGGUGCUCUGAACCUCACGGGGAUGGGUGCCCGCCUGAGCGGCUCUUGCUUUGUGCUUCUGACCUAUCAACUAGACGGCAGCGUAAUGGACAUGCUAUGGCUACAACGGGUACAGAGG
rnacentral:rRNA from 1 species